GACGAACGCUGGCGGCGCGCUUAACACAUGCAAGUCGAACGGAAAGGCCUGCUUUCCCUUGUGGAUUGCGGGUACUCGAGUGGCGAACGGGUGAGUAACACGUGAGUGAUCUGCCCCCAACUUGGGUAUAAGCCUGGGAAACUGGGUCUAAUUCCCGAUAGGACUGCAGGGUGGUGCCUGUGGUGGAAAACGAUUUUCUAGUGGUUGGGGAUGAGCUCGCGGCCUAUCGGCUUGUUGGUGGGGUAAUGGCCUACCAAGGCGGCGACGGGUAGCCGGCCUGAGAGGGUGGACGGACACAUUGGGACUGAGAUACGGCCCAGACUCCUACGGGAGGCAGCAGUGGGGAAUAUUGCACAAUGGGCGGAAGCCUGAUGCAGCGACGCCGCGUGGGGGAUGACGGCCUGCGGGUUGUAAACUCCUUUCGACCGCGAGGAAGCCACCUGGUUGGAAGGGUGGUGACGGUAGUGGUAGAAGAAGCACCGGCUAACUACGUG
rnacentral:rRNA from 1 species